rnacentral:rRNA from 1 species
CUACGGGACGCUCCAGUGGGGAAUAUUGGACAAUGGAGGCAACCCUGAUCCAGCAAUUCCGCGUGUAUGAAGAAGGCCUUCGGGUUGUAAAGUACUUUCAGCAGGGAAGAAGUAAGUGACGGUACCUGCAGAAGAAGCCACGGCUAAUUACGUGCCAGCAGCCGCGGUAAUACGUAAGUGGCAAGCGUUAUCCGGAAUCACUGGGCGUAAAGGGCAUCUAGGCGGCGAUACAAGUCAGGGGUGAAAAGUCUGGGCUCAACCGAGGCCUUGCCUUUGAAACUGUAUUGCUAGAGUCCGAGAGAGGAGGGCGGAACUACAAGUGUAGCGGUGGAAUGCGUAGAUAUUUGUAGGAAUGCCGAUGACGAAGGUAGCUCUCUGGAUCGGUACUGACGCUGAAGUGCGAAAGCUAGGGGAGCAAACAGGAUUAGAUACCCUGGUAGUC